GGCUGGUUUGUGGCAAGGAGGUCGGAACGCCACUUCAGAGCAUCUGAGCCAGAGGAGAUCACGGACGCCCUGUAAAUCCGUCGCGAAAGCUUCAGAGGUUCGAAUCCUCUACCCGCCACCA
rnacentral:tRNA from 1 species